GAUGAACGCUGGCGGCGUGCCUAAUACAUGCAAGUCGAGCGAACGGACGAGGAGCUUGCUUCUCUGACGUUAGCGGCGGACGGGUGAGUAACACGUGGAUAACCUACCUAUAAGACUGGGAUAACUUCGGGAAACCGGAGCUAAUACCGGAUAAUAUUUUGAACCGCAUGGUUCAAUAGUGAAAGACGGUUUUGCUGUCACUUAUAGAUGGAUCCGCGCCGCAUUAGCUAGUUGGUAAGGUAACGGCUUACCAAGGCAACGAUGCGUAGCCGACCUGAGAGGGUGAUCGGCCACACUGGAACUGAGACACGGUCCAGACUCCUACGGGAGGCAGCAGUAGGGAAUCUUCCGCAAUGGGCGAAAGCCUGACGGAGCAACGCCGCGUGAGUGAUGAAGGUCUUCGGAUCGUAAAACUCUGUUAUUAGGGAAGAACAAAUGUGUAAGUAACUGUGCACGUCUUGACGGUACCUAAUCAGAAAGCCACGGCUAACUACGUG
rnacentral:rRNA from 1 species